UGGACACGCCCUCUAGGCGUAAGGUUCCAUGCGAGCGGUAAGAGUGCGGCGGGACUUGGAAAUCGAAUCUGUGCUCUGUGAGAGAUCCUAGGAAAGGAAACUGGGAGCCCGGGAGAACUAAAAUUCCCAAUUAAAAGUGAAUUUAAAUCUGAGCUGUUCUUAGACCCAGAAUUUCUUGCCUGAAGGAGGAAUCAGGUCCCCACAAGGAAAGACCCUGCAACUGUAUAAAAAAAGAAUCUAAAAAGAUCAUGACUCCUUCAGUCCUUUCCCAAAGAGACCUAUGGAAAUUUCCUCAGGAGCACCCACAACAGAAUAGACAUUAAACAGCUGCAUAAACAAAUGACUCAGCCAGUUGAUGUCAGUCAGCCUGUGUCAACAGCCACCCCAAUGCUGGCACAAAAGGCACUAGAACAGAAUAGCCUGAUGGCAGAGAUGAAGUGUGCAUGGCUCCAGCAGCACGGACUCCUCUCAUUAAGGCUGAUCUAGCUACUGUUGCUGCCCCAUGUCUAACUUGCCAGCAACGGAGACCAAAGUUGAGCCCCGGAAUCAGCACCAUUCCUCAUAGAGACCAGCUAGUCACUGGGUGGAAGAGGGACCAAGCAAAACCCCAGAAGAGUUGAUCUCAAAGCUUAUUUUAUGAAGAAAAUUGACCUGAGUGACACAAAGGGUUGGACUGUAGUAGAUGUCACGUUUUGCUGCCUAGAUCUCCAUCCAGGGAUGAACUCUUAUUUCCUCAGCUUCUUUGUCUCCUCAGCUUCUGGGAGGGUUGGCAGCUGAUAUUCUCACCUGAGUCCCUUUCUAGGACUUGCCCUUGCCUGAAGAGAGCUGUGCUGCCCAACAUGAUGCCUCCUCCAAGGUACAAUCCACACCCAGUGACUAAUAAACAGGGGUUACAAAGGCAUGCCUGCUUGCCCCAGUUUGGGACAACUUUACCAGGCCAACCCAGCCUCAAGGCUCUCCACAGGAACAGGUGAGGCCAUAGUUGUGAUUACAUCACAGGGACCCUGAAAGCUGUGUCUAUGAAGUUAUUACAAGAUAUUGGCUACUGUGGUGCAUGGAGCUUCUAGGCCAGGGUGAUUCUCACACCUGCCUGAUGUGGAUCUUGUUGCUUCACACCUGAAACAUCAUUUGAGAAGCCCGGGAAGUGGUGUGGCUGCUGCAUGGCUGCUCCAAGAACUACUCCCAUGGGAGAGGAGCUCCCAACAGUGCCUUGCCAUCAAGCUUUGAUUUCUACCUUACAUACCUCUGAAUAAACUGUUGCCAAUGAGGCUGAUGGAAGUCUUGUGAGUUUGAAUGCCAGGUUGAACUUAAGAGGAUUCCCUGGUGAGCAUUGCAAGAUGGUAUACUCAAUGUUAUUAAUUUGUGGGGAGUUUAAUAAAAGUAUUGUUUAUAUUGAUGUGGGAAGGGUAUAGGGAAAUUACAAGGUAUGGUGCAGUGUCCCAAGAAUAGUAACAUGGGGCACUGAAAAGAUAGAGAAAGGAAAAGAAUGAGUGACCAGAACCUGGUGACAGAGCCACAGGGGAGGGCUGUCUGGCUGGAGCUGUGACUUACCAUUGAAGGACUCAGGAAGUUCUUUUUUUUCUUUAGACAGGGUCUCGCUCCGUCAUCUAGGCUGUCAUGCAGUGGUGUGAUCAUGACUCACUGCACCCUCAGCACACACCACCAUACUGGGCUAAUUUCUGUAUUUUUAUAGACAGGUUCUCACCAGGUUGCCCAGUCUGAUCUCAAAAUCCUGGGCUCAAGCAAUCUUCCUGCCUUGGCCUCCCAAAGUGCUGGGAUUAUAGGCAUAAGCCACUGCACCCAGCCCUCAGGCAGUUUUUAUUAAUUCUGCAGGAAGGGAGCUGGGAGAAUAAAAAUCCCGACCUCAUUUUCUUUCCUUCUUUUGUUCUCUUGCUUGAGCUUCCCAUGGAUGAACUGGAAGAAUUCAGAAAUUGAAUGAUAUAAAUAACAAAGUUAAAUUAAUAGACAUGUAUUGAACUUAGUUUUUAGAGUAUGUAUAAUUUUCCCAAUUUUCUGUGGAAUUAUUGCAAAAUUUGAUCACAAACUAUAAGGCUACAAUUUAAAAAUAUAACAAAUUCCUAACUGUAAAAAUUUUCUAGGUUAAAUUCUUUGAUCACAAAGCAGGCAAGAAAUGAAUGGUGGAACAAACUAAAAUACUAGCUCCAUGAAUGAAAAGACCUACAUGGAUAUGAGAGUAAUUAAGAAGGAGUUAGCAGCGAUGGGACUUUGUGAUUGACUGGAUAUAGACAAUGAGGAAUAUAGUGAAGGAAAGAUGAUUUCCUGAUUUCUGGCAUGGGCAGCUGAGUAGAUGGUUAUGCUAUAAACUAAGAAAAGAGAGAAGGAUAGGAAGAGAUGGGCCUGGAAGAGUAUGGAGUUUGAGAUGAGAAGAGAAAAUGGAAACUCUGAGGAGCACAGAAAAUUAAGGCCCAAGUGAAGAAAGAUGAGCUUGCAGGGAAGACUGGGUGAUGACAAGCGGUGUAGGAGAGAAUCCGGGUACUCUGUUUUGCUGAAAUGAGAAAGACGGACAUACAGAUGCAUAUAAAGGCAUAUAGAGGCAGAUAUAUUUAUAUUUGAGGAAGUCUGGACAUUGAGUAAGUUAGUGCUGAUAACUUCUAGUUUCUUAGUUAAGAAAGAGAUGAGGUUAUCUAUACGGAGUAAGGAGGAACGUGGUGGUGCCGUUGCUACUACGGUGUAAUACGUCACUACUAUUACUAUUAAUUAUGGUGUAAUACCUAAAACGUAGUGGCUUGAAAUAACAAUAAUUAUCUUUUAUCUCUCACAGUUUCUCUGGGUCAGAAAUUUGAGGAUAAGGUGGUGAAUGAUUCUGGCUCAAGGUCUCCCAUAUUGUUGUGAUCAGUGGCUGGAGCCAGAACAGCAGAGGGCUUAGAGAAUCUAGGGAUUGGUCAGAUGUCGCUUUCGUUUUAUCUGGCUUUGAGACCUCUCCAAUGUGAGCUAAUUUAGGCUUCCUCAUAGCGUGGUAACCUCAAGGUAUGUGAACCGUGUAGCGGUUGACGCUUCCAAGAACAAGUAUUCUAGCAGGCAAGGUUCAUCUUUUAUGCUUUAGGCAUGGAAAUUACAUAGCGUCACUUUCCCUAAAAUGAGAAAGGAUAUAGCAUGUUUGGACAGUACGAACCAGUAUCACCUAAUUGACAUUAAUAGACCAUCCUAUCCAGCAAUGGCAGAAUACAUAUUUCAAGUGUAGAUGGAACAUUCACCAAGGCAGAUCAUAUUCUGGGCCAUGUACAAAAAAAACUGAGAAAUUUAAAAGGAUUAAAAUUACAGAAAGCAUGCUCUCUGACCACAGUGGAAUUAAGCUAGAAAUAGAAAACAAAAAAUUAUAUAGAAAAUCCCCAAAUAUUUGGAAAUUUUUUAUUUUUGAUUUUUUAAAAUUGUGUUUUUUAACCAAUGAAAAAUAAUUGUAUUAUCUGUGGAGUACAUAGUGUUGUUUCAAUACAUAUAAAGUAUAGUGAUCAGAUCAUGGAUAUUAGCAUAUCAGUCAUUCCAGACAUCUAUAAUUUUUGUGUAGGGAACCUUCAAUAUUAUCUUCCAGCUAUUUGAAACUACAUAAUAUAUUAUGGUUAAUUACAGUUUUUCUAUUGUGGUAUAGAAAUUAGAUAAUAUACUCUUUUAAAGUCCAUGGGACACAAUGAAAAAUAAUUAGAAAAAUUAGAACAUACUUUGAACUGAUUGAAAAUUAAAACACAACAUAUCAAAAUUUGUGAGAUGCAGCUAAAGCAGUACCUACUGAAAAAUGUAUGGGAUUAGAUACUUAAAAAGUAGAUGUUAAACCAAUGUCCUAAGCUUCUGCCUCAAGAAACUUAAAAAAAGAGCAAGCAAAGUAAAUCCAAAACAAGUAAGGGAACAAUAAAGAUAAGAUUAGAAAUCAAUAUAGUAGAAAAAAGGGAAUUAUAGAUACAACCAAAGAAACAAAAAAACUGGUGAUUUGAAAAUAGCAAUAAUAUUGAUAUAGGCCUCUGAUCAGACUCAUCAAGAACAAAAGAAAUAAUAUACACACUACCAACAUCAGGAAUGAAUUUGUAGGAACAUUCCUACAAAUCCUACAGACACUAAAAUACAAUAAGAAAAUAUUAUAAACAAUUUAUGCUUAUAAAUUUCAUUACCUAGGUGAAAAGUACAAAUUUUUUCAAUGAUUCAAACUGUCAAAGGUCACUCAAGAUGAAAUAGAUAACCUGAAUAGCCCUGUAUCUAUUAGAGUAAUUGCAUUCAUAGUUUAAGAUCUCCUUUCAAAUAAAUUCCAGACUAGAUGGCUUCUCUGGUGAAUUUUACCAGACAUUUAAGAAAGAAACAAUGUGGCCGGGCCCAGUGGCUCACAUCUGCAAUUCCAGCAUUUUGGGAGGCUGAGGCGGAUGGAUCGCCUGAGGUCAGGAGUUCGAGACCAGCCUGGCCAACAUGAUGAAACCCUAUCUCUACUAAAAAUACAAAAAUUAGCCGGGCGUGGUGGCGGGCUCCUGUAAUCCCAGCUACUCAGGAAGCUGAGGCAGGAGAAUUGCUUGAACCCGGGAGGUGGAGGUUGCAGUGAGCUGAGACCAUGCCACUGCACUCCAGCCUGGGCGACAGAAUAAGACUCUGUCGAAAAAGAGAGAGAAAGAAAGGAAGGAAGGGAGGAAGGAAGGAAGGAAGGAAGGAGGAAGGAAAGAAGGAAGGAAGGAAGGAAGGAAGGAAGGAAGGAAGGAAGGAAGGAAGGAAGGAAGGAAAUUCCACACAAAAUCUUCUCAAAAAGUGAAAGAAGAGGAAAUAUUUCUCAACUCAUUUCAUGAGGUCUACAUUACCCUGGCACGACACCAAACUUGAUAAAGGCAUUUAAAUAAGAAAACUAUAAACUAAUGUCCCUCAUAUAUAUAGAUGCAAAAAUGCUUAACAACAUUUUAACAAAUUUAAUUUAGUAAUAUAGCAAAAGAAUAAUACAUUAUGGUCAAGUAAGAUUUUUCACAAGAAUGCAAUGUUUGUUUAAUAUUCAAAAACCAAUUAAUGCAAUUCACCAUGUUAGCAGAUUAAAUUUAAAAGCCCAUCUGAAUUAAAAGCAUUUAACAAAAUUCAAUAUUCAUUUACAAUAAAACCCCUCAGCAAGUCAGAAAUAGUCAGGAAAUUCCUCAAUCUGAAAGGAAGCAUCUAUGAAAAGCUUACAGCCAUCAUCAAACUUAAUGGAGAGAGGCUAAAUGCUUUUUCUGAAAGGUCACUAACAAAGCAAAUGUGCCCACUCUCACUACUUCUAUUCAACAUUAAAUUGAAGAUCUUAGCCAGUGCACAAUGGCAAGAAAAAAAAAAGGCAUCUAGACUGGAAAGAAAUAAGUAAACCUGUCUUUUAAUCACAAAUGACAGUAUCACUUACAUAGAAAAUCUCAAGGAAUAUCCCAAAAAAGUUACUAGGAUUGAACUAAUGAGUUUAGCAAAUUUGCAGGAGACAAGAUCAGUAUGCAAAAAUCAGUUGAUUGGUUGUAUUGUCAUAUAAUAACAAUAAUCAAUUGAAAAUAAAGAUUCAAAUGCCAUCAAAAGUGUGAACUUUGUAGGGGAAAUAGUUUUAAAAGUACAGGAGAAAAACUGGCUGAGAGAAAUUAAGAUCUAAGUAAAAGAAGAAAUACACCAUUUUCAUGGAUCAGAAGACAAUUUUGUUAGGAUGACAAUUCUCCCCACAUUGAUCUAUAGACUCAACAUAAUCCUAGUCAAAAUUCAAGUGAGCAUUUUUAUAGAAAUUUGAAAGCUUAUUCUAAAUUUUUGUUGGGAAACCGUCCUCCAUGUGUCUCUUGUACUGCUUGCUACACAUCUUACUUAGAAGGCUAAGAAACCAAGCCCUGAUCAUUUCUUAUCACGUUUGUUUCUUACAGUUGUGUUUGCAGAGAGCAACUUUGAGGUAUGAGAUAAUGUUUCACUCUGGGACAAAGAACAGGCUUUCUUACAGCUUGAUAUAAAACAGAUGAAUUCCCCAAGUCCAGUGUACCUCUUCUGCAAUGCAACCAAUUGCAUGUACAGGCAUCCAUCUGGGCCCAUGUCACAUCACCCUAUGGGUCUUGGGGAUGGGGAGCAAGGGAAACUGAUGUGGAUGAUAAUGCUCAUAAUGCUUACCAUGCCAUGGGUAAUAGAGUUCUUUGCCAUAGACCUAGGAUUCUUGAGGGUUUUUGUUUUUUUUUUCCAGCUUCCAUGAAACAGUAGUAUAGGCUAACUUGUUAGCUUCCAAGUAGAGUAAAAUCAAAUCCCUGACACAACAGUUAAUUCAAAGUUCCUAAAGUAGCUAAAAAUAUUUCUUUUAAGUUGAGGCACUUGAAUAUUCUGGUUAUGAAGCUAUAAUAAUUAAGACAAUAUGGCAUUGGCAUGCGAAUAGAGUCCAGAAAUAGCAAUCAAUGGAACAGAACAGAGAGUCCAGAAAUAGACCCAUACAAAUAAAAUUAACUGAUUUUCAACAAUGUUAACAGGAUAAUUCAAUGGGGGAAAGGAUAUUUUUAGCAAAUGGUGCUGAAAACAUAUGAUAUCCAUGUGCAAAAGAAAUCAUCUGGAGCCAUACUUUAAACCUUAUAAAUAACUCAAGAUGGAUCUCAGACCCAAUGGUAAGAGCUAAAACAAUAAAAUUUCUAGAAGAAAACGGAAAAUUUUUGUGACCUUGAGUUAGGCAAAGAAUUUUUAGGUAGGACACAAAAAGCACAAAUCACAGGUGAAAAAUUGAAAACUUGGAAUUUACCAUUAAAAGCAUCUUGUUCUUUAAAAGACACUGUUAAGAAAAUAAGUAUAUAAGCCAUGGGAUGAGAGAAAAUAAUUGCAAAACACAUAUCAGGUAAGGGACUUGUAUCCAAAAUAUGUAAAGAACACCUAUAAAUUAAGAAUAGGAAGACAACCCAAUAUAAAGUGGGCAGAAGAUUAUACAGAUACUUUACCAAAUAUGCAAAUGGCCAGUAAGCACAUGUUCAACAUCAUUAGCUGUUAGGGAAAAUGCAAAUUAAAACCACAAUUUGCUACUGCACAUUCCUGGAAUAACUAAAAUGAAAAAGUCUGAGAAUACGAAGUGAUGGUGAGAAUGUGGAGCAACUCGAAUGCCCAUAUAUUGCUUGUGGGGUUGCAAAAUGGUACAACCACUUUGAAAAACAGUCUGGCAAUUUCUCAUGAAGUUAAACAUGUACUUACCAUAUAUCCCAGUAAUUCUAUUUCUGGAUAUUUGCCUAAUAUAAAAACAUUUGUCUACAGAAAGACCUGAGUGUCAUAGCAGCUGAAUGCUCAAUAAGCUGAAUGUUUAUGGCAACUUUAUUCAUAACAAUAAAAAAAAACUUGAAACAAUCCAAAUGACCAUCAAUUGGGGAGUGGAUAAACAAAUUGUGGUGCAUUCAUACAAUGACAUGCUACUCAAGAGUGAAAAGGACAAGACCAUGGAUACAAGCAACAAGGUGGAAAAACCUCAAAAGCAUGAUGCCAAUAAAACUAGCUAGCGCUAAAAGAUGUAUAUUGUAUGGCUCCAUCUAUAUGGCACCCUACAAAAGGCAAAACUACAGAGACAGAAAGUAGGUUGGUUUUUGCCAGAGGGUAGAGCUGGUGAAAGAGGAUUAACCUUUGAAAAGGUACAGCAGAAUUGUUUUGGAGUGGUGGAAGUAUUCUAUAUUUUGAUUGUGGUGGUAGGUACACAACUGUAUCCUGCUAAAAUUCCUCAGAUUUAACACUUAAAAGUUGAAUUUUAUUGUAUGUACAAAUAGAGAAUGGAAGAACAAAAGAAUGAGGAAAGGAAGCAAGAAAGGAAGGAAGAAAGGGUGGGAGGGAGGAAGAACGGAAGGGAGGGAAAGACAAAUUUCUUCUCAUUCUUUAUCCCUCUUUGAGAUGCCUCUCUGUGGAUCCUGUCACCUCUACUGGGGAGCAAAAAGAACACAGAAGUUGGAGCCGACGGAUCCCAUGCCUAGCUGGGUAAUUAGGCAAAUCUCAGCCUCUGGAAAUGCAGCUUCUUCUGUAACCUACCUCAGAGGGCUGUUGUGAGGAUUGAAUGGGGUAACAUUUAAACUAACUGGCAAAAGCAGGUUCUCAAUAUAUUAAAAUUCACAUGAAAAAGAUAAACCAGGAAGGGAGUUGGCAGGAAGCCAGGAAGCCUCCUGUGUUCUCUGCAGGAGGCUUAUCUAGUUCAUCAGGAUCUUGGGAACAGCUAGUCUUCCUCUGCUGCAUUCUGAGAGUUAGGUGAUGAGUCACCACCUCAAGAGGCCAUCUAGUUCUGGCCGAUCUAUCUGACUGGAUCGUGGACCCUAGGACCCAGCUAACUUGUUCUCCAGCCAAUUUAGAAGAAUGAGUAGCAAAAAUAAUAUGGCAAGUAUUUCUUGAAGUGCCCUAACCCUCUGUCCUUAUUAGUGUACCCUGUCAGGAGUGGCCUGCCUUGACUUUCUGUCAAACUGGAGCAGCCUGAGACUAAGGGCAAAUGCCCUCUUGGCCUUGGCCGGCCACAACUUGGAUAUGCAGGUCAGGCUUAUUGUUAGGGAAGCUCUGAGACUCAAUUAAUCUGAUGCCUUUUUAUUAUGAGUUCAGGUGCAGCUCCAUUUACAAGUUUUUCUUUCAAAAUCAUUCAGCCAUUAAAGCUGCAUAAUCUUGGAAGGUUUUGAAGACGCAUGAUUGGUAAAUGUUUUUCCCCUUCACACAUUAUCUCUCAUGUUUAUUCAUGAAAAGUGAACCAGUCUUAUAAUUUAAACAGUGUCUUGGGGUAUCUGGCCUCCUGUAUUUCUAAGGGGGAGGAAAGAUGAGGCUAGCCCAGAAGCCAUUUAAAAAGGGGAUUUGAGGCCUGAACGCAGAGAACUCAAUCCCAGGUACUAAUGACCUUGCUUUGGCUUGCAAGACUAAGCCUGAGGCCUGUGGCACUUAAGAGGGUUACUGGGUACCCAGACAGGCAAAUGCCUGUUGAUUGGAUGGCUAAAUUGUGAAGAAAGCAAAGCUUACCUGUGCAAUGUGUCCAUGCCUUCAUUCCUACUUUCUGAAUCAACAGUGCCUGUUAUUGUUCUGCCCAACUGUUAAGAUGUUCCACCUGUGCCUGCUCUUUGGCGCAGUACUCCAGGCUAUAGAUCAACAUUUCUCAAACCUGGCUGCACAUUAGAGUCAUCUGGGGAUCUUUUAAAAACCCAGCUGCCUUGGCUGCACAUCUGAUCAUUACGUCAGACUCUUGUAGGGAGGAGUAUAGACAUCAGCAUUGAUUAAAACUCCUGAGAUAAUUCCAAUGUGCAGUCAGGAUUGAGAACAGCUGGUCUACACCAGUUCCUCUUGAAGUAUGGUCUGUAAGUCACAGGCUGCAGAAUCUCCUUGGAUGUUUGUGGGAAAUGCAGAUUGCUAGGUUCACCAGCCCUAUAGGCACUGAGUCUCAAGGUGAGAUCUGGAAAAUGUGUUUUAAUAAGCUCCCCAGGUGAUUCCUAAGCUUUUUGCAAGUACCGCUGCUUCUUAUGAUAUGGCCGUUCUUGCUUCCCAUCAGUUAUCCUUGUCUUUCAGUUCCUCAAAGAUAUCAAGUUUCAUUCAUCCUCAGGACCACUGCAUAUGAUAGUCGCUCUACUUGGAAGACAUUUUCCUCUUUCUCCUUGUUAUUAGGCAUUUGGCAGACUUAACAAUGAGGCUAUUGUAACCCCAGAAAGUCAUUGCAAAGUGCCUGCUUAGGGGGUUAAGAGUAGACACUGCAGGGCCUUGGAAUAGUAAUGGUUUACUAUUUAAUGAGUUCCCUGUCACUGGAAGUCAUAGAGAGAUUGCUCCAGGCAUGGUGGGAGAAAAGCCAGUUUGACAGGCGGUGGAGGGAUAAGAGGGAAGACUUGAGUGACGUGGCACAAACUGGGUCAGAUCUAUUAAAGAGGCAGCCCUGGGCAGCUGGCAAGAGAUCAUGUCAAGAGACACAAUGCAGGUGCCAGCAGGACCAGAAGAUCAGCUUCUUAGAGCGAGUGCCACCUGGAAGGGGGAAACCAAGGGAAGGGGCACAGCAAAGGGCAAAGCUGGGUGGUGGAGGAAGUACCCAAACAGAGGGAAGAGCCACUCUGGCCACAUCAAGUGAAUACUGAUGAUCGGGAAACAUUCAUGGGAAGUUAUUUCACUCUCUCGAGUCCAGUGUAAGUGAGAAAGUGUAAUUUAAUUUAAAAGAGCCUAAUUUAGCCUUCCAUCAACUGUAGAUCUUUUAACGAGACCUUUAUUCUUCUAGGACAGCAUUUCUCAAACUUUAAUGUGCGUAGGAAUCUUAUUAAAAUGCAGAUUCUGAUUCAGUACGUCUGGGGUAAGGGCUGAGAUUCAGCACUUCUAACCGGCUCCUAGAUGCCCCCGGUCUGAGCACUACACUUAGAGCAAGCAGGUUUGAACAUUGCGACUUAUAACAGUGGACCCAUGGUGUAGACAAGUCCAGAAAUGACUGCUGAAUCAACAGUUUUUAUGUUAGCUUCCGUAUACCUUCAGAAUUCAGUGUUUGUGUGCAUUCUAAUUCUCUAAAUGAUGUAUAUUAGAUUUCCAUUAACGAAAAUAUAUGUUUAAGUGGAACUCUCCAAUUCCAACUUGCCAAAUAAAAUAAAAAAUUCCUGUCAUUUUACUGACCUGUCUCUGAGUUGUUAAUGGUGACAUGCUGGGCAAUGACUAGGUUACCUGUUUUUGUCCCUGGCCUGAUGUGGGUUAUUAAAUAUAUGUAGAUGUUAGGCAUGAGAAAACAUUUACGCAGUUUUCUUUUUGUCAC
rnacentral:lncRNA from 1 species